AUGCCACUGCCCUCAGUUUCUUCAGCUGUAAAGUGGGGAAAAUUGUAUCUACCUCUUAGUAAAACUUAAGUGAGAUGAAUAUUUGAAGCAUACUGCUUUGUAUGAACUAAGUAUUCAAUGAGUGAUGUCUUUUUAAAAAGAUACUGUGCUCAUCAGGGCACCUGGGUGGCUCAGUCGGUUGAGCGUCUGACUUUGGCUCAGGUCAUGAUCUCACAGUUCAUGAGUUCGAGCCCCACAGUGGGCUCUGUGCUGACAGUUCGGAGUCUGGAGCCUGCUUCGCAUUCUGUGUCUCCCUCUCUCUCUGCCCUUCCCCUGCUCAUGUUCUGUGUCUGUCUGUCCCUCAAAAAUGAAUAAAUGUUAAAAAAAAAAAGAUACAGUGCUUGUAAGAGAAUGGGUUCUAACUAGUGUUUUAAUCUCUGUGCAGUAUUUGGAUCCUAUGUCCACUGAUCACUGUCCUUGGGCAAGAAAUCUGACUUUGUGCAAUCUUCUCCCAUAUAAAAAAGGGACUAUGUUUCCCCCUCUUUCCUUUGAGUAAAAGUAUGAAGAAUUACACCAUAUAGUACUUUUUAUUUACUUUAUUUUAUUAUUUUUUUCAUGUUUAUUUAGUUUUAGAGCAAGAGAGAGAGAGAGAGACAGACAGAGUGCUAGGGGUGGGAGGGGCAAAGAGAGAGGCAGACACAGAAGGUGAAGCAGGCACCAGGCUCUGAGCUGUCAGCACAGAGCCCAACAAGGGGCUCGAACUCACUAACCGCAAGAUCAUGACCUGAGCCGAAGACGGACGCUUAACUGACUGAGCCACCCAGGUGCCCCACCCUAUGGUACCUUUUUAGAUGCUACAUCUAGUGUUUUAUUCCUUUGAUCAAAUUAAUUUUUCUACAAAAGUCGAAAAUCGUUUAUGUCUCUUUGUAAUCUUAUUUUUUUAACGCACAUGGCUGUUUACAGCUUUUAAGGUGACGUGUGGACAUUUCUCACGAAACUAAUAAUUUGUGUCACUUUAUAAAGCACUGCCCGAGUCCUUCCUUGCCAAUCUUCUUGUGACAUGGAACAAUUGUUAGGUGGGAUGGAUGCAUAUGCAGAUGCUUAACCAGAUUUUAUUGAUUAUAAAUAAAAUGGCUUAAAAUAAAACUUUAAAAAUACAAUCACUGCUGCCAUUUUCAUAAGAAAUUCAGAGUAAAGAAAUAUGGGGUGUUCUCUUUGGGACAGGAACCUGGAUUGGUUCUUUCUUCAUUGUUCUAAGACAUAGAUGCAGUGUGGAAGGCCAUUUUCAGAAUAGUACAGAAGAUGGUACAAAGGAGUGUUCAGAAGAGUGCUCAAGAGGUGCUCAUGCUUUUCAGAAAGGCCCUAAACACUGUACUCUUAAAAAUGAAAUAGCUAUGGGGCAUAUCAGUCUUUUCAGUAAGCUCCAGUAAUAAGAAAUGCUACAUUCUUUCUUUCUUUUAAAUAAAUCUACAUCCAGCUCUGAACUCCCAUCGCACUAGCUUGAAUUGAGUCUCAGUCAUAAAGGCACUCCCUCUCUCUCACAAAAUUACGGGGUCCAGUUCCUGAGCGUGUUGCACAGAACAGAGCGUUCAAGGGUGAUCCUUGGUCUUUUCGUCCCAAUUAGUUUCCACUUUGAUACCCAUGGCCUGCCAGUGUCUCUUAACAGAGUGUCCUGGCAUUUUGGGUGGGACAGGUUUUGUGGCGUAGAACGUGUCACUAUAGGAUGUUUUUGGCAUCUGUGACUGUCACUUGUUUUGACAACAACUAUAAGAACAAAAGCCUUCCCUCCCUUUCUAAAGUGCCAUAGUUGGACCCCCUAAUGUACCUACUUUUAUUUCCCCAGCCAAUCCUUUGGGGUCAGAUGGUGUUGUGACGACUGUGUCACCCAGCAUGUGGAGACCCACUGGGCUCAGGUGCUCUGAAUGGAGUCUUUUGUAGCCACUUUGCUGUUGUUUCCUAUGGAGACCCAGCCUCUUUCCUGGAAUUCUGUAAGGGAGAAGCUGCAGAUACCUUUGCUGAAGGUCCCACAGACUUCCAGCCCUUCAUUAAGCCUGGGACAGUCUUGCUGCUUGUGCCACCCCUGUCCCCACCUUUAUCUCACACUCUCACACUCUCACAUUUAGCUAAUGCUAAAAUGCAUUAGCUUUUGUUUGUUUCCCUAGAACAAAGCUUUUGGAAAACUAUAGCAAGGAAAAGAGGUUCUCUUAAGGCUACUUCGCCUCAUCCCUGCAGCCUACACUGUGGCAAGGGAGUGCAGAAGGCCUGGCCAUCCGUUGUUAGAAAGUAGGGGUGGAGAAUAAGUAGGCAAAAUAGAAAAUAGAAACUACUCAAUGUCAUUUCACCCUUUGACAUCAUUCAAUGGCACUAAAACCAAAAAGCUAGUUAAUAUCUCAGUGCAUUAUCCCAGCACAUAUCCAAGUAUAGAUUUUUAUACCACAUCCCCCAAAAAUGAAUGGUCCUGACUUACCUCUGUGAUCUGAUUUUUUCAAAUAUUUAUUUAUUUUUGAGAGAGAGGGAGACAGAGCAUGAGUGGCGAGGGACAGAAAGAAAGGGAGACACAGAAUCUGAAGCAGGCUUCAGGCUCGGAGCUGUCAGCACAGAGCUCGACGUUGGGCUUGAACCCAUGACUGUGACAUCAUAAUCUGAGCUGAAGUCAGAUGCUUAACCAACUGAGCCACCCAGGUGCCCUUGGUCUGAUUUCUUUACCACAGAAAUCGGAGCUCCAUAGCUUGGGCAAAUAGGACCAUGGCUAUUGGUAAUGCUGAGGCAAAGGCAAAGAAUAAUUGGAUAGGACUGAGAGCAUAUGUACUUUUUUUUUGUUUUUUGUUUUUGUUUUUUGGAGUUCUUCAGCUGAACAACAGAAAGCAGAAAACUAUUUGAGCGGCUAUUCACAACUCUCCUGUGGAUGGUACUUUCUAGUUUGAUAGGAGAGAAGUUAAUUUGUUCCAUGCAACGGAUGCCUUAGGAUUAGGCAUUAGGGGCAUUAAGAUUUACUUUUCUUGCUGAACCUUUAGGAGUGGUGAGCAUUAACACCAUUUAUCUGGUCCUGUUGCCCUGUGAAAUAAUCAGAACUGUGGUUUACAUUUGGCUUCUCAUCUAUUAAAGGAGGAUGAUAAUAGUACCUACCCCAUGGGGCUAUUAAAGAUUUAAAGGAAUUAAUACACAGAAAGUCCCCAGAACACAGCCUGGCACUCAGUAGGUGCCGUGUAAGGAGAUCAUGUUAAUGCAUCCUGGUGCUGUGCUAGGUACUUUACGUCUUUGUGCAUUCUCAUUUAUGCUCCCCUAAACCUUCCUAAGAUAGAUAUUAUUAUCCCCAUUUCACAGAGAACGAUAUGGGGUUUAAAGAGUUUUUUACUUGCCCAGAGAAACACAGCCUAUGAGGGGAUGAGUUGGAAUUGGUUGUAAGCACAGAGAGAAGCAUCCUCUUUGCAACUGUGAGGUGGAGAGGGGCUUGGGCUCACCUUAUUGUAUUGCUGAGUUAUUGCAUUGCUGAGUUUUGUUUGUACAUGCCCGCACACACUCUUUGAUUGAAAGUAGAAUAAUGAAGCAGAAAUCCAAUCAGAAUGAUCCCGAUGUUCAGACUGAAAAAAAUGAAUCCGGUUAAGUCUGUUGAGUAAGAGGGUUUACACCUGGAAUAUAUUUGUUUGAAUCCCCCUUACGCACUACUGACAAAUAGUCUGUAAUUAUAGGCAUUUAAUGAAGCAGGCUAGUGGGCAUGUUGGUAAUAGGUUACAUUUUAUUUUCCUUAGGGUGAUUAUAACAGGCUUAACGUAUAAUGAGAGAAUUUUGGUUUUGGAAUUGAAAUGAAUUUAAAUACAAAUCACUGGAAAAGCACAAGUCAGAACAUGUGAACAUUUUAAAAAUUAGCAGAUGUUCUUGUAGAACUUCACAUUUUAUAUUUUCACAUUAUGCUCUGAAGUAAAAUAAAAGCAGGAUCUCCUAUUAUUUUGAGUGUGGAUAAUUCAUAAUGAUUUAGUUAUAAGGGAUCUUUUUUCUUCUAGAAAAAGUCCUCCAUGGUUCUUAGUAUUCAUGUUUUUACCAAUUAAGAACUUAAGAAAUAUGUUUGAGAUGUUCCUUUAUCCAGAGAAAAACUAUGCUGCCCUGUCAUCGUCAGACUUUCCCUCUUGUUAUUGUUUUUUUAUAAAUGUUUAUUUAUUUUUGAGACAGAGAGAGACAGAGCAUGAGCAGGGGAGGGGCAGAGAGACAGGGAGGCACAGAAGCUGAAGCAGGCUCCAGGUCUGAGCUGUCAGCACAGAGCCCGACGCAGGGCUCGAACUCACGAACUGUGAGAUCAUGACCUGAGCCGAAGUCGGACGCUCGACCGACUGAGCCACCCAGGCGCCCCACCUCUUGUUAUUGUUUUAAUAUGUGUCAUGAUAAUUUCUUUUUGUAAGGAAGAGAUAUUUGUGAGCACUAGUAAGACUAACUUAAGUAGAUAAAAAUAUCAAAGUAUUUUUCAGAUUCCUUUGCAAAAGUAAGUCAUUUGAAUAAUUAUGGAGCACAUUCAUCAAGUUUGUGUUCUGGCUUUAAAAUCAACAACAAAUACUGAUAAUAAUUAAAAUUCCAAUUUAUUGGGUUUUACUCUGUGCCAGGUUAUAUCCUAAGCACCUUAUAUCAUUAAUAUUUAUUUAUUUACUUAUUUAUUGAUAGAGAACAAGCUCAAGAGAGGGGGAGGGGCAGAGGGAGAGGCAGAGAAUCUUAAGCAGGCUCCAUUCUCAGUGCAGAGCCUGAUGCGGGGCUCGAUCCCACAACUGUGAGAUCAUGACCCAACCCUAAAUCGAGAGUCGGACACCCAACCGACUGAGCCACCCAGGUGCCCCUAUCUCAUUAAUUCUUAAUGACAAAGCAAUAAGGUGAAUAUUAUUCCCACUGUCCACAUGAAGGAGGUGAGAAAUUAAAGAAGUUACAUGAUUUUCUCAGGUAAGAAUGUUGACAAAUGGUGCAUCAGUGGUUGGAAUCCAGAUCUCUGUCAUUAGCCAGUUUUCUCAACUACUGCAUUAUGAUGUGAGUGACACAUGUGAGUGUCAACGAUUAUGGACAUAUUGAGGUAGACACUUCACCAAGCCUGGGGGACAUGAGUCCUAAAGUAUAUGAAUGAUCUAAGGGUGUUUCUGGAGGGGACAUGGGAGAGUAGGGAGGGAGAAGGAAGGAAUUCCAGGUAGAGGAUUCUGUAAGUCGAAGAACUGUUGCUGUUACUUGCAGUGUAUCGGGAGUAUUACAUGAGACAGGGGAUGAUGCCAGAGAGGUAAGGUCAAAAUAUUGGAGAAUCUGUGUUGAAGAGCUUAAGCAUGUUCUGAUAGGAUAGAAAGACCCUGACAGUUUUCAGGCAGAUAACUGGCAUGGUUAUAAUUGUGUUUUAGGUAAAUCGCUCUUGAAGGGGUGAGGAGAUGGUUUUAGUAGACAAAACUGAGGGAGGGAGUCCAGUUUCAGUCUUCUGAGAAUGAUGAAGACUUGGAUUAGGUCAGUGGUGCUAGGGGAUCCAUUUAGGGUGUGAUUAAGGUACAUACUUGCAGUAUUUAAUGGUGCUUAGCUCUGGGUGAUGAGAGAAAUAAAGGGGUAAAUACUAAGUGUCAGAUUUCCAUACUGCAUAACUGGGUGGUUUGUAGAGUCACUAGUUAAGACUGAGAAAAAUAGAGGAAGAGGAUUAGGCAGAAGAUAAAAUGAGUUCAGUUUGGGACAUGUUGGGUUUGAUACAGCCAAAUGUAUUUUUCAAUUUCAACAGAAAUUGACUAUAUCAGUCUGACAUUGUGGGCAGCGAUUUGAGGUGGAGAGGCUUAGGAAUCACAAGCAGCUAUGAUAGGUGCAGCUAUUAUAGUAACUAAGAUCAUGGUGCAAGUGAGAAUAGUGAGCUGUCAAUGGGCCACUGGGGUACCUAGGUUGGGUGAAGAGAGGGGAACUUACUAAGGAGACAGAGCAAGAAUAAUCAGAGAUAUGAUGAACCAACAGUGUGUGGCAUUAGAGAAACAGAAUUUCAGGAAAACGAUAAACAGGUGUGGAGUGCUGGAGAGCAGUGUUAUAAGGGUUGGAAAAUGUCUACAGAAUGAGGCAAUGGAGGUAACAGGUGACUUUUGCAAGAAGAAAUCUAGUACAAUGGUGACAGUGGUUGACACAAAUCAUGACACAUUGGGUUUAGACGUAAAUGUUAGGCUGGGAAUUAAGAUGCCAAGAAAGUUCUCUUUCUUUUUGGUCGAUUUAACAGGUUUCUAGGUUGUGGGGAAGGAGGCCACUGAGAGGGAAGGGUUAAAGAUACAGGAGAAGUUACGACCAAUGUGCAGGACCCAGAUGAGGCCCUGGGGCUGAAUUAAAGAGACACAGACCUGGCAUGGGAUUAUGAGGCCAUUCCUUUCCUGAAGGAAGGAAGAAAGGAGAAGAAUGAAUAUGGGUGUACUUACAGAUCACUUACGGGUCCUGUAUGUUAGUCCGGUGAUAACACAGCUUGCUUGUUUCAGCCAUCUGGAAGAAGGAAGUUAUGACAAUUCUUGAAAAUAAAUGUGGCGAGAGACAUAGAGAGGGGUGAAGCUUUAUCACCUGUUUUUGCAGUGCUGGAGUGAACAACAACAACAACAACAGCAACAAACCCAAAGGAUUGUGCUAGUAUUGUGUCUUGGGUCCUGGCGAUCACAAUGUAGAUGGUCACCCAGGGACAAGCUAUGAGUAGUUGACCUGGACUUUAAGCUUUGACUUUGGUGACUUUGUCUAUAGGUGCUGAGACAUUGCGUAGGAAGGGGGUAGUUCCUUUAGACCAGAGGUUUCCAAAAGUGAUUGCUAGCAGGAGUCCCUGGGAGUGCUUUUAAGAAAUAAUGAUGCCAGUGUUACCCCCUUAGUUUCCGAGUUGACUGAUUUUGGGUGGUACAUGGUCAUCAGUGUUUUUUUAAAAAUAUUUUUAAUGUUUGUUUAUUUUUUGAGAGAGAGAAAGAGAGAGCAGGAGAGGGGUAGAGAGAGGGGGACAGAAGAGCCAAAGCAGACUCCGUGCUGACAGCAGAGUGCCUGGUGCAGGGCUUGAACUCAUGAACCAUGAGAUUGUGACCUGAGCCAAAGUUGGAGGCUUAACUGACUGAGCCACCCAGGUGUUCCCAUGGUCAUCAAUCUUUUUUAAAGCUCAGCAGGUGGUUUGAUGAUGCAGCCAGGGUUGAGAACCACUGCUUUAGACCAGUGGUCAGCAAAUGGUUCCUGUGAAGGGCCACACAGAAAAUAGUUUGGGCUUUGUGGGCUCUAAAGUCUCUGUUUUAACUAUUCAACUCUGUCCUAGCUCAAAAGAAGCCAAAGAUAAUACGUAAAUAAGUUAGCAUGGCUGUAUCCCAGUAAAACUUUACUUAUGGACACUGAAAUGUGAAUUUCAUAUAAUUUUCACAUGUCACAAAAUAUUACUCUUCUUUUGAUACCGACCCCACCCCUGACCAGCCAUUUAAGAAUGUGAAAACCGGGGCGUGUGGGUGGCUCAGUUGGUUGAGCGUCCGACUUCAGCUCAGGUCAUGAUCUCACAGUCUGUGAGUUCAAGCCCCGCAUCAGUCUCUGUGCUGACAGCCUGCUUUGGAUUCUGUGUCUCCCUCUCUCUUUGCCCUUCCCCUGCUCAUGCUCUGUCUCUCUGUCUCAAAAAUAAAUAAAAACAUUAAAAUUUUUUUAAAAAAGAAUGUGAAAACCAUUAUCUCAUUAGCUGUAUUGGCAUGGGCUGCAGUUUGCAGACUCCUGCUUUACACCCUCAUUGCUCAAAGUGUGGUCCUGAACUAAGAACAUUGGCAUCACCUGGAAGGUAGUUAGAAGUGCAGAAUUUUGAGCCUCAACCCAGUUCUCCUGAAUCACAAUCUGGAUUUUAACAAGAUUCUCAAGUGGUUUAUAUGCAGAUUAAAGUCUGAGAGUCAUUAAUCUGCUCUAAGCCAUUCUACUCCCAUUUCUACCCAGUUCAGAAAGUAGGGGAGCUCCUUCAUUGGCCCCAUUGUCUCAGUGAUCUUUUAAUGAAGUUACAGAGCUUUUAAGGAGAAUCCUGUGGCAAGAAGCUGUCAUCCAGGUUUCUGAAUUGCUUAACAAUUCACAUAGUCUGGCUUUAGGUCUUAGAGAACUUAUAAGUGGAAAGUUGACAUUCUGUUAUGAAAAUCAGAGCUUUAAUUUAUAUUCUAGCACAUAUAGAGGAUCUGUCUUCAUAUAGAACAAGCACACUUUGGGUUUUGGAGGCAGAACCAAUUUUUUCCUUAAGAAAAACCUUAGAUUUAUUUAGUAGCCUCUAACAAGAACUUUUCUGAAACUCCAGAAAACUAUAUCCAAGAGCAUGUAAAAGAGGUUUUAUGGGAGGAAAACCAUGGAAAUCAUGGACAAUUUUUUUUUAAGUUUAUUUAUUUUGAGAGACAGGGAGGGAGCGAGAGAGAACCCCAAGCAGGCUCUGUGUUGUCAGCACGGAGCCCGACAUGGGGCUCGAUCUCACAAAUCGUGAGAUCAUGACCUAAACCAAACUUAGAGUCUGAUGCUUAACAUACUGAGCCACCCAGAUGCCCCAUGGGGGAAUAUUAAAUGUCUCAAGAUUAGCUCAUGCACUCAUAGUGAGGCCAUUACUGAAAGAAGUGAGCCCCACCUGUUUUGCCCUGCCUAGGGCAAAAGCAAAUUACUUAGCAAAUAAUAUUUCCUACUAAGACCCAUUUCAGGUAAAUUGGGAAGGACAUGAAAAGUGGGACUCAAAACACCUCAUCACAACUCUGAAGUGGGGAGGCUCUGAAAAGUAUGAACUGAUUUUUCUGAUGCAGAUGAACUCAUGCCUUUGUGAGCUGGGCUAAGGCUGCGAGUAUAUUUGCAGGUUGACAAAACAAUUGUUAGUUUGAUUGUCUACAACAGUCUUCAGGCUGAACUGAAGUAUUUGUUCUGCAAGAAAAGAAAUAAUUUCCUUUUAGCUUCGGUUAUAACACUUUCGCAGAUUUGCUUCCCAUUUGACUCUGGUAAGAGAAAGAUUAAUAGGGGAACUGUAGCAAGACUAAAAUGUUAAUUCCCCCAGGAUGUGGAGAAAAACCACAUGCAUACAAAUGUGUUUAACGUUGAUUUCCCACGUUAUUUACUUUGGCUAAUUUCCUUUUAAACACACAUAUAUGUGUAGGUUUGGACACCUGUUGAAGAGAAUAUUAAGCCUUGACUGAUUUUGUUCAUUCAUCUUUUUUUUUUUUAUUACCUUGAUCCAACUCUUUUGCAAAACGGUAACCAACACUUCUUUCUUUGAACACCAUUUGGACAAACAGAGAUAAAAAAGAUCACAGACUUUUAAACUUUUAUGCUAUCUUUAUAUGACCGUAAGGGAAUGACCUCCUCUGACUUCCUACAUUUCCUUUCAACAAGUUUGAUAGUGCGGAAAUUUUAAAAUAUGAAUACUAACCUGGUAUUAGAAAAUGAUAUGCUGCUGAUUGGCCUUCCCGCCAGAGGCACUGAUGUCAUGCCACUUUUAGGAGUUGAAAGCUCCGAUAAUAAAUUACUGAAAUGGUUAAAAGUUCAUGCAGAGUGGUCUUUUCCCGCCGUAUCCCCCCGUAUAGCUCUGUGAUGUGUACAUUAUGCUUCAGCCAAAUCAGACUGUUUCUCAGAGGAGCGUGCAUUUUUCUGUGGUUGGAGCUUUGCUUAUAAUAUUCUCUAUAUUUAGAAAGCCCUCUAGCCACCUUUUACUGACAAAAUCCCAUCCAUCCUUCAAAACUCUGCUCACAAGCCCCCUCCUUCACAUAUCCUUCCUGAUCCUGCCAACUGGAUGUGAUAUUUAUCUCCGUUGAGCCCUCAAAGCACUUUGUAUGUACCUCUCUUAUGGCACUUAGCUCAUUCCGCCUUAUGUUUUAGUUAUUUGUGACCUUGAUUUCUUUCCUUUGCUAGGCAGCUGGAGAGCAGGGACUAUGUCUUCUUUAUUCCUGAAACUCUUGAAAGUUAAUGCUCCUGUUUCCACAAGAAGAUCAUUCUUGAGGAGUCUAAAGACAGAGACUGGUCAGAAAAAGGACAGAUUAUAUCAAGCAGAAGUUUCUUUUGUCUUUUGGAUGAUGUUGAUCAAAAGGGAAAAUAUUAUAUUUAAUACAGGAAUUGGAUCUGUUGUUAGAUGUAGAAAUACAAUAGUUUAAGUAGGUGGAGGCAUGUGGAGACUGUAGAGAAAUCCAGGAGAUAACGGGAGACAGAAGAAUGUUGGGGUUCUUGUGAUCGCAGAGGUGAGAUACCUUGAAAUCUCAGCCUGUGUAACUGAGACUGUUGACGUCAACCCUCCUGCCCCCAUGCUGCUUGCAUCUACUUCUGAGUUCUCCUGCAGUGUGUGGUCCCUGACAGCUUCCCACCUCAAGCAUUUGUGUCUCUCUGUGUCUCUGCCAGAGGUUUACUUCUGUGUCAUAGGUGACUGCUUCACCCACAUAUAGGCUAGCUCAGAAAUGCCAGGGAACUCAUGCCUCCCUGGGCAACCCUCCACCAGUGAGGGAUGACUGUCAGUGUUUUCACAUUCUAUCUGGUCUCUUCCUGGAUGUGACAAUUCUGAGGUAUAUUGUAUGUGGUUUGCCAGAAGGGCCCCAGUGGGAUUGAGUCUCAGCCUGCCACAGCAAUAAUCUGAUCAUUAUCUCAUUUUUUUUUUAUUGGCUUUUCUUCCUUUCCUGAUUUCACUUUUAUUUCUCCCUAACUUGUGCUUCCCGCGAUCACACAGCAAACGAGGUCUUCCUUUGGGUUAACCUAUCCUGAGACAUUCUGACCAAGUAGAGCUGAGGUCUUAGAAAAGAAUAAAUUACUUCCAUGAUGAGGUCCAAUCUUUAUAUUAAUAAUGUAAUCAUGACAGUAGCCACAGAUAAAACAUGCACAGGGUAAUCAGAGUGGGAAAAAUGUGGCUUAGUUUGCAUCAUUUUGGAAAAGGAUUUUUGUAGGAGUCUAGGAAGAAUUUGUACAAUGAACGAAGGAUGGACUCAUAAAGGGAUGGCCUGGGGUUGUAGACAACAGUUGAUUGUAUUGAGCCUUCAUGCUCAAAAACAAAAUAGGUACCAUAUAGUUCUCAUAUCUCCUGUUGCAUUUUGCCAUAAUCAGUAUAAUUAAAAUAUACAUUUUAUACAUCUAUGCUGAACAAAUCUGCCAUGUCUGAUUGCAUUCCACUGCUAUUUUAAUGAUGGGAGUGAAUCCAGAAGUAUAAUGGAUGAAUCUACAUUGUCAGCCUUUUACACUGGGAAGAGGUUUACAGAGGAUUGACUUUGAUUCACCAGUUAGAGAUUCAAAAAAAAAUUACCACAUUACAUUUAUUUCUCACACAUAUGACAGGCUCUUAUUUUUAUAUAAUAAUUUAUAUGUUAUUUUAUCCACGCAAGAUAUAUUUAGAGUCAACCUUCAAGGUAGAAAAAAUAGCAGGAAAAGAAUUCAAAAGUCUAACCCCUAGGGGGACUUAAGGUAAGAAAGAAGAUACUAGAAAAAAAAUUAGACUCUUAGGUGAUCAACCUACAUUGGCUUAAGCCAAAAAAGGAAUUUAUUAUUUCAUAUAAUGGAAUACUCCAGGGAUAGAACUACUCUCAGACUAGCGUGAUUCAUGGUUCAACGUCCCUAGGUCAUUUUUAGGCCCUGCACUUAAUGGGGUAGUUCUAUUCUCAGACUGUGUGACGGACCCCAGAGACUUGAGAGUCUCUUCACCACAAGAAAAAAUAAUACAGUGGAAAAGAGAGUUCAUACUCAAAUUCGGGAAUUGGACCUCACUGGCCUGACUUGGGUCAUGCGUCCAUCUCCAAACAGAGCUCAUGUCAAUGAAAUGAGCACAUUAGCUUAUUUGACUUUCCACUUUCUAAUCUGUAUGCCAUUCAUGUCUUUUUCUUGAUUUACUGCUCUGUCUAGUUCCUCCAGUACAAUGUUGCAUAGAAAGCAGGGAUCCCAGCUUUUUCCUGAUAUUAGAGAAAAAUGGUUUAGUGUUUUACACAAACUUCAUGGUAGUUGUAGGUUUUUUAUAAGGCUUCAUCUAUCAGAGUGAGGAAGCCCUCUUCCAUUCCUAGUUUACAGAGGAUUUAAAAAAAAUCAUGAAUUGGUGUUCAAUUUUAUUAAGUGCUUUUUCUGCGUAAAUAGAGAUGAUUAUGUGGAUGUUCUUCAUUAUCCCGUUAGUAUGGUGAAUUAUGUCAAUGGAUCUCACCUUGAUUCCUGGCAUAAACGCUACAAAGUCAUGACGUAUUGGAUACGUUUUAAAAGUUGCUGAAUACAGUUGUGUGUGUGUGUGUGUGUGUGUGUGUGUGUGUGCGUGCGCAUGCGCUUAAUGUUUAUGUCUACAUUCUGGAGUGAUACUGGUUUGUUGCAUUGUUUUUUGUAAUAUGUUUAUCUGAUUUUGAUAUCAGGGUAAUGCUGGCCUCAUAAAAUGAGUUGGAAAGUGUUCCCUCUUCCUCUGUUUACUGACAGAGUUUGUAAGAAGAUUAACUUAUUUUAAUUCAUGAUCUUACCCUACUUCUCAAGGAGGAGAGUCAGUUUUACCCAAGUGUGUUCAUUGACAGUGGGAGAGGGAUGGUUUCUCUGAAAAAAAUGGAGGUCCUGUGGCUGCAAGAAAGAGCGGAAGCUCUUUGAUAGAUUGAAGGUACAACAAAUGAC